rnacentral:misc_RNA from 1 species
GCUUCAUUAAUAGGCUCACGAUUCAACUUUGAUCGUUAUGGGCUACUACCAAGAUCUAGUCCUACACAAUUGGACCUGAUUUUAACAGCUGGCACCGUAACCAUGAACAUGGCUCCUUCUUUUCUGAUGAAAUUAUUUAUUAUUCAUUAAUUUCAACUCACAAUUUCAUUAAUAAGAGGAAUCCCAUAGUAUCAAUGUAUAAAAAAUAAAGUGAGCAUGAACGAACUCCAAUAAAAGAGACAUUUUUCCAAUAUUUAAUUUUUAGAAAAGGAAAAAAAGAUCACAUUGUACAUUACAUAACCUUCCCAAUAACAUAUGCAUAUCAAGGCUGAUAACCAAAACCAUGACUGGAAGCACUAAAAAAGCCUGCAUAGGCUAUGAGAUCAAUACUAUAUCAUAUGUCAAACUCAAAUUGACUAGGUUCUUCACUAACUCCCAUGUUCACAGUUGACCUAAGACUUUCGGUUCAAUAGGAUUUCAGAAACUACAGCUCUCCAGGAAAUUUUUCACGAAGGGGAUCGAUAAAAAAAUGGAACUUUAAAAUAGUAAGGGGUCCUCCAUGAAAUUAUGCGCAUAGAUACAAUAAAUUUUUAGAAAAAUAACAUAAAAUCAUAACAGUAAAUUGAUUAUGAAAAACCACUCUCUCAUUAAAGUAAUAGAAGAUGGAGAAGCAAAGCAAAAAAAUUAACUAAAGCAUGGAGAAGGUACAGUAUAAAAAAUAAUCUAAUUUAUAAUUAAAAGGCACACUUAGAAGUGGUGAGUGAUGAUAUAUAAAAAGGACAGUUCCAAU